rnacentral:rRNA from 1 species
CCUACGGGGGGCUGCAGUAAGGAAUAUUGGACAAUGGCGGAGACGCUGAUCCAGCUAUCCCGCGUGCAGGAUGAAGGACCUAUGGUUUGUAAACUGCUUUAGACUGGGGCGAAAAAGUGGGAUUUAUCCUACAUUGACGGUACCAGUAAAAUAAGCACCGGCUAACUCCGUGCCAGCAGCCGCGGUAAUACGGAGGGUGCCGGCGUCACCCGGAAUCACGGGGGCGAAAGGGUGUGUAGACGGCUGGCUAGAAAGGCCACGGCUUAUCCGUGGGAUUGCUUUUGAUACUGGCGAGCUUGGAUUAGGACGAGGUUGGCGGAAUGUGGCAAGUAGCGGUGAAAUGCAUAGAUAUGCCAUAGAAUACCGAUUGCGAAGGCAGCUGACUAGACCUAUAUUGACGCUGAGGCACGAAAGCGUGGGGAGCGAACAGGGUUAGAUACCCUUGUAGUC